rnacentral:rRNA from 1 species
UGCCUAUACCGGGCCGCCGGUCGGCAGUGUAUACAAACGUAUUCUUCUCGAAGAGAGAUAAGAAACGCUGAGGCCCCGGCGAGUAGGGGGGUCGCGACGGUGAGCGUUGAAGGGUUGUGGGCGUGAGCCUGCCCGGAGCCGCCGUCGGUGCAGAUCUUGGUGGUAGUAGCAAAUACUCCAGAGGGAUCCUGGAGGACUGACGCGGAGAAGGGUUUCAUGUGAACAGUGGUUGGACAUGAGUCAGUCGAUCCUAAGCCGCAGGAGAAAUCCGACCUAGUGUACUGGCGUGAUUUUUAUUAUUUUAUUGUACGUAUCUAUGUCAUGUAGAGACGUAUAAGAAAAAUAAAAAAUUUCUAAAAAGAGGCGCCGCUGGGUGAAGGCGAAAGGGAAUCCGGUCCUAAUUCCGGAACCAGGCUGCGGCUACGUCCGCGAAUAACGAAUUAACCCUCGUUUUCUCGGUCGCGGUAACGCGACACAAACCGGAGAAGCUGUCGAGAACCCCGGGAAGAGUUUUCUUUUCUGCUUGAGGGACCGAGACCAUGGAAUUCCGUCGUGGAGCGAGAUGGUUUUGGAUACACGCUGUUAAAAAGGCGAUCCCGAAGAGCGCCGCGUUUCUGCGGCGUCCGUGGUCGUUCUCGACUGGCCCUUGAAAAUCCGGCGGGAGGGUUACGUUUUUGGACGUUCGCGCCUGCUCGUACCGAUAUCCGCAUCAGGUCUCCUAGGUGAACAGCCUCUAGUCGAUAGAAGAAUGUAGGUAA